GGGGGUGUCCUGGAUUCGACGAUAAAUCAUAGGAUACGGUAGCAUGUCAGGGAUGAUGGUUGGCCCUGUUAACAUCCAUCACAAAAGUUAAAUGGCAUUAGAAACAGAAGAAACAGAAAAGUCAUGAAACUCAGCUUUGGCAACAAAGCGAAACUAGCUGCUUAAUUAAAAGCAGCUCACGGCGUUUUUGGAUGCUCGCUAAGAAGUCGCCGUGCCUAUUUAAGCGAGUAGUUAUCUAACUCGUAUACAGGUUGACGUAACUUAUGGUUGUAUACUCGCCAUCGAAGAGCUUGUUACGUGCCUCUUCAUCGGUCAAAGUAUAAACGUAACUAAACAUGUAGAAGCUUUAUCUGAAAAUUUGUUGGACGCGGGUUCGAUUCCCGCCACCUCCACCA
rnacentral:tmRNA from 1 species